rnacentral:rRNA from 1 species
AAAUUGAAGAGUUUGAUCAUGGCUCAGAUUGAACGCUGGCGGCAGGCCUAACACAUGCAAGUCGAACGGUAACAGGAAGAAGCUUGCUUCUUUGCUGACGAGUGGCGGACGGGUGAGUAAUGUCUGGGAAACUGCCUGAUGGAGGGGGAUAACUACUGGAAACGGUAGCUAAUACCGCAUAAUGUCGCAAGACCAAAGAGGGGGACCUUCGGGCCUCUUGCCAUCGGAUGUGCCCAGAUGGGAUUAGCUUGUUGGUGGGGUAACGGCUCACCAAGGCGACGAUCCCUAGCUGGUCUGAGAGGAUGACCAGCCACACUGGAACUGAGACACGGUCCAGACUCCUACGGGAGGCAGCAGUGGGGAAUAUUGCACAAUGGGCGCAAGCCUGAUGCAGCCAUGCCGCGUGUAUGAAGAAGGCCUUCGGGUUGUAAAGUACUUUCAGCGGGGAGGAAGGGAGUAAAGUUAAUACCUUUGCUCAUUGACGUUACCCGCAGAAGAAGCACCGGCUAACUCCGUGCCAGCAGCCGCGGUAAUACGGAGGGUGCAAGCGUUAAUCGGAAUUACUGGGCGUAAAGCGCACGCAGGCGGUUUGUUAAGUCAGAUGU